rnacentral:snoRNA from 1 species
UGUGAGAGUGAUGAGGUGCACACUGGUGGAGCUAUAGUAUCAUGUGAUACAGGCACCACUCAGUACCACCCUGGUGACAAAAUCAAGUGCACAGGGGCCAUCUGACUCACA